GGCAAUUAUGAUGAUUGCUCGUCAUGGCCUGGCUGUGAUAGAAGCUGUGGGGGAGGCUCCAGGUGCAGGGUUUGCGAAUCGUGUUUCUGGAAAAUCGACAAAACUUUCUGCGAAAACUGCAAUACCUUUUGUUUUAAUGGUGGCUCGUUCGUGAAUGGCGCAUGCACGUGCACGUCUUGGCGAUCAGGAGUUUGCUGCGAGCAAUGCAAGCAUGUUACCAUCGCAAACUGUCUACCCGGAAGGCAGGAAUGCGGUGGUUCCCCAGAUGGAAUCAGGUGCACACAGUGUGAAAACGGCUACACAUCGGGUGGCUACGGAAAAGGCUGUAUAGAUAUCAAUGAAUGUUCAUCGUACCCCUGCAGAAAUGGCGCCACAUGCACUAACCUUUUGAACCAAUUUUCAUGUAGAUGUACGCCAGGCUACACGGGACCUACUUGUGCGUCAGGUA